rnacentral:rRNA from 1 species
UACGAAGGUGGCAAGCGUUGUUCGGAUUCACUGGGCGUACAGGGUGUGUAGGCGGUUUGGUAAGCCUUCUGUUAAAGCUUCGGGCCCAACCCGGAAAGCGCAGAGGGUACUGCCAGGCUAGAGGACGGGAGAGGAGCGCGGAAUUCCCGGUGUAGCGGUGAAAUCGCGUAGAGAGUCGGAGGAAGGCCGGUGGCGAAGGCGGCGCUCUGGAACGUUACUGACGCUGAGACACGAAAGCGUGGGGAGCAAACAGG